rnacentral:rRNA from 1 species
CGAACGAUGAUCUCCCGCUUGCGGGGGUGAUUAGUGGCGAACGGGUGAGUAAUACGUGAGUAACCUGCCCUUGACUCUGGGAUAAGCCUGGGAAACCGGGUCUAAUACUGGAUACGACCUCCUGUCGCAUGGUGGGGGGUGGAAAGGGUUUGACUGGUUUUGGAUGGGCUCACGGCCUAUCAGCUUGUUGGUGGGGUAAUGGCUCACCAAGGCGACGACGGGUAGCCGGCCUGAGAGGGUGACCGGCCACACUGGGACUGAGACACGGCCCAGACUCCUACGGGAGGCAGCAGUGGGGAAUAUUGCACAAUGGGCGCAAGCCUGAUGCAGCGACGCCGCGUGAGGGAUGACGGCCUUCGGGUUGUAAACCUCUUUCAGCAGGGAAGAAGCCACAAGUGACGGUACCUGCAGAAGAAGCGCCGGCUAACUACGUGCCAGCAGCCGCGGUAAUACGUAGGGCGCAAGCGUUGUCCGGAAUUAUUGGGCGUAAAGAGCUCGUAGGCGGUUUGUCGCGUCUGCUGUGAAAGCCCGGGGCUCAACCCCGGGUCUGCAGUGGGUACGGGCAGACUAGAGUGCAGUAGGGGAGACUGGAAUUCCUGGUGUAGCGGUGAAAUGCGCAGAUAUCAGGAGGAACACCGAUGGCGAAGGCAGGUCUCUGGGCUGUUACUGACGCUGAGGAGCGAAAGCAUGGGGAGCGAACAGGAUUAGAUACCCUGGUAGUCCAUGCCGUAAACGUUGGGCACUAGGUGUGGGGGACAUUCCACGUUCUCCGCGCCGUAGCUAACGCAUUAAGUGCCCCGCCUGGGGAGUAC